UAUAUGUUGGCAGAUAAUUAUUUUGUUUUAAGUGUGAUUAUGUUGGUUGGGUCUUUUUGGCUGUAUCGUUCCAGCUGAUUGAGACUCGUCAGGCUACUCUAGCUACGCCAAGAACGGAAAAAACGUUUGGAUUACAGACCGGCCUGCCAAACCUGCUGAUGAAGUGGAGUGAUACAGCAAACAUCUGGCUAGCUAGUUAGCUCCCACUAGCUUCCAAAGAGUUCACGUCACUUCGGUUGUAAUGUCAACAACGAGGCUGGGUCAGCAGGUGCUGUCUGAGGGCGGAUGUGUGAAAACCUUCCACUUCAGGGUAGAAGAAUGCUUCCAAGAUUUUCUUCGCUGUUGUGGUCAGAUGCUGGUUUCUGCUCCCUGUGGGACAAAAGAUGGAGGCCAGAGUGGAGUUUGUUCGCAGCCAGCAGUCAGCAGGGUGGGGUCUUGAUUACUCAAGCAUGGUGCAACUGGACCGCGCUCUCGGGACUAUCCCAUCUGAUGUCACCCUGAAUGGGAAAUCGUUGAAACACUUGAACGUUUCAAGGAGAGAAUUUCUGUUUUUCCUCAUUUGGCUUCGGCUGAGUAGAGACGUUUAGUUCCACUUCAUGAAAACAGCUUUUGGUAAACAUUUAGCCAAUAUGUCAGUAUAUAAGUCUUCCUUGAGUGAAAAUACCAAGCCAUAACAGUAAUAACUCAAUGAUUUCAACUGAAGUUUAAUAGGACAAGACAUUCAUAAAAACAAGAAGAGAUGGAGCUGUAGCAAUGUUUGAGGGAAAACUCAAAAGUUUCACAAACCCCAACGUGACGUUUGAAGAAUCUGACAGAAGAAGCUAAGUCUUCACUGUAAGUAAAUGUAGGCCUAAUAUGACUUUUUGAGCCCCUGUGUGAACCAAAUCUGAACUUCUAUGACAUUCUCAACUAGAG